rnacentral:rRNA from 1 species
GAGCAUUUGUCUUAAGCACCUGCAUUGUCCACAUGCUCUGAGGUUGCGACUCGGUAGCUAUCACAAAGCCUGACACUGGACAGAAAAUCCCUCGUUCUCCGGUGAACAGUCAACUGUAUAGGAUUGGGUUGGUACGCAGAUGCAACGGGGGGCCAAAUGGCGGCAAAAAAAGGACACAUUCUUGAUCUUUAAAUUAACAACCAUGGGGUCGGAGCGGAGCGGAGACUGGUCUGCGCAGGUCCAGGUACCAAAGCUCAAAAACAAAUACUCCCCUGUCUCCUCCUUGAUCCUUGAGUACCACCAAUUUGGCGAUUUGCAGGACCAAUUCAUGAGUUGUUGUCUGCGCUAGCUAGCUGCCCUGUCUCUUCGCUCCCGCGAGAAGCCAAGAAACAGGGGAGCGCCGCCCGCGGCGCAGCAGCAGCAGCUUCAUUCAUGGCGACGGGGGAGGGGGCGGACGGGACUGGCAGGAGAGGGGUCCCUUCCUUGCUCCAGGACGGCGGGACCGGGCAGGACGAGCACAUCGCGUCCGACGUCACCCAGCUGAUAGGGUGGACGCCGCUGAUCGAGCUGAGGCGGAUCGCCGGGAAGGAGGGGGUGGGUGCGCGCAUCGUCGGCAAGAUCGAGGCCUAUCAGCCCCUCUGCUCCGUCAAGGACCGCAGCGCUCUCAGGAUGAUCGAGGAUGCUGAAGAGAAAGGGCUGAUUUCACCAGGUGUCACGACUCUAGUCGAGCCGACCAGCGGUAAUUUGGGCCUGGGAUUGGUUCUGAUUGCCCUAAGCAAAGGCUACAGGUUCGUCGCGGUGAUGCCGGGCCAAUACUCGCUUGAUAAGCAGAUCUUGUUGAGAUACAUGGGUGCUGAGUUGUUCAUAACUGAUCCAACACUUGGGUUCCCAGGAAUAACCGACAAGGUUGAACAGCUCAAGAAAGAAUUACCGAAUGUACACGUUCUUGAUCAGUUCUCAAAUCCAGCAAAUCCUGAUGCACACAUCAGAAUGACUGGACCUGAGAUUUGGAAGGAUACUGCUGGCAAGGUGGACAUAUUUGUUGCUGGUUCAGGCUCAGGAGGCACGGUAUCUGGUGUCGGAAAGUAUCUGAAGAUGCAAAACCCAAAUGUGAAGAUCAUUUGUGUGGAACCUACAGAGAGUUCAGUUAUUUCAGGUGGGGAACCAGGAAAACAUAAAAUCCAGGGAAUAGGACCAGGAUUCUUACCUGAGAUCUUGGACACCUCGGUCAUUGAUGAAACGGUCACCGUGACCACCGAGGACGCAAUGGUGAAUGCGAGGAGGUUGGCAAUGGAAGAAGGCCUGCUUGUGGGCAUAUCUUCUGGGGCAAACCUGGCAGCUUGCUUGAAGGUUGCAGCGAGAGAAGAGAACAAGGGGAAGAUGAUUGUGACCAUGUUCCCGAGCGGGGGCGAGAGAUACAUGAACUCGGACCUCUUUGCAGCUGUAAGAGAAGAGUGUAUUGCCAUGACCUUUUGAUCUCACAUCUUAUAAACUCGAAAGAGUUGUAUGUGAAGGGUAUAUGUAGUCGGUUACCUUAAUGUGUUGCAGUGGACAACAUUCCUACGGAGUUUACCUGCAAGGGAUCAUGAAUUGUUAUUAGUCACUGAAUGAAUGCCCAGGAAUGUGUUACUAGAUAAUCAUGCCAUAGCGUCACUAAGAAAGAACAUAUAUUUUUCAAUUAGCUAUACAGAGCAUAAUUAGCAUACAUCCGGCCCCUGCAUGAUUAGGAUAUACACACGACAACAAAAUUAAAAAAACACCAGCAAUAACAAGGUCAUAUGGGACCAAAAGCAUGC